GUAAGGAAUAUUGGUCAAUGGACGCAAGUCUGAACCAGCCAUGCCGCGUGAAGGAUGAAGGUCCUCUGGAUUGUAAACUUCUUUUAUCUGGGACGAAAAAAGGGUUUUCUAACUCGACUGACGGUACCAGAUGAAUAAGCACCGGCUAACUCCGUGCCAGCAGCCGCGGUAAUACGGAGGGUGCAAGCGUUAUCCGGAUUCACUGGGUUUAAAGGGUGCGCAGGCGGAUAUGUAAGUCAGUGGUGAAAUCUCUGGGCUUAACCCGGAAACUGCCGUUGAUACUAUAUAUCUUGAAUGCCGUGGAGGUAAGCGGAAUAUGUCAUGUAGCGGUGAAAUGCUUAGAUAUGACACAGAACACCGAUCGCGAAGGCAGCUAGCUAAGCUAUAACUGACGCUCAUGCACGAAAGCGUGGGGAUCAAACAGGAUUAGAAACCCGUGUAGUCC
rnacentral:rRNA from 1 species